rnacentral:lncRNA from 1 species
GUGAAAGUCUUUGAAAGUGAUGACUGGCAAAAAGUCUGUGAAAUGAAAUAGCACAAAUAUUCCAUUCUUUUUAAAUAUUAUUGUAUAUAAAGAAAAACACAUACUGAUGUUUAAUAAUAGUUUUUUUUUACCCUUUUUAUGUUUAGGACAAGAAAUAUAGAAAAAUAUAAACAGUUAAAAUAGAAAUGAGCGGCAAAACAAGAAAAACAGAAUACAACAAGGCCUAAAUGGUAAGACCACUUCUAUAUAUACUGCACAUGUAAAUUCAGAAAUUAUUGAUAUGUUGAUUGCAUUUAUUAUUGUGAUUUUUCACGAAUGGACAACUUAUUGUGAUUACAAAAAAAAUCUGCAUAAAGAUCUAUAUAUAUAUAUGUUUUUGUUAUCAAAAUAUGAGUUCUUAUUUUUGCGAUACUCACCCAGUCACAUUAUUCGCAUUACUAAAAACCUCUCGUUAAUUUCUGAAUUACAGUAAUAAAAGUAAUUGCCUUUGAAUGAUGACUCAUAUAAAAAUAAGAAGAUGUGGUAUGGUAAAUGAGUGACUUAUCCACCAGAGUUCAAUGAAGUGGAUGCAAGAAAUUAAAGGCCAAUGAUGGGCCGGCCUUCAAUAAUGAGAAAACACUUCCUUUAUAGGUCAGCCAAUAAAGAUCCCAACAUGAAAAGAUUUAAACAAUCCAAAAGAAAAAGUAAAAUCACAAAAAUACUGAAUAGAGGAAAAUCAAUUCGAAAGUCCAUAAUCAUGGCAAAAUCAAAUAACAAAACGCAUAAAAACGAAUGGACAAGAACUGUCAUAUUCUGAUACAGGCACUUUCAAAUGUAGAAAAUGGUGGAUUAAACCUGGUUUUAUGCUAACCCUCUCACUUUGAUGACAGUCUCAUCAAAUUCCGUUUUAUUUACAUUGUUGCGUUAACUAAACAGACACAAUAAAUAAAAUAGUACAAAUAUGGGUAUCAUCGUAUAAAUUUUAAAAGAACAAUUUUAUAAGAACACAAACACAUCUAUCUACAAACACAUUCAUUGAUUUGUGUGUCUGACGUCAGAAAAUUUUAUUCACAUAGAUUUGUGGUUCAAUGUGCAUACAAACAAUUUUUAAAAUUAACAUAGGCAAUGUUAGCAUAUAGGGCUAAAAAAUCAAAAGUAUGUAAGAAUAAAUUUCAGAAAUAGACCGAGAUUGAAAGUUGUCCAAAAGUUAUAUAUAGAAUUUAUAAGAAUCCACAAAUAGUUAAUUCCACUACGCGAUUGAAUGAUUUUGACGUUUAUGGUUCAACGUAUUUUGUAAUUCAUAAUAGAAAUAUAUCAUAAUGACAUAAAAUAGAACAAUAUCAUACUGACAGGAUCUUUUAAAGUACAGAGUCACGUUAUAAGAACCAAAGAAAUACAAAAAGUCGCAUAUACAAAACACGCCACCAAAAAAUGAAAGACAAUACAAACACAUUGACGAGAUGUAUAAGUACAGAGCCACGUCAUACGAUAUCACAUAAAACCAUUCAACAGUAAAAGUAAUAUUAAUAAUAACAAAGACAAAUGAAAGAACUAUAAAACAAAAUGAUAAACAACAUCAGUACCAGAAAUCUAUACAUCAAACCAUUGUGUAUAUUUGAAGUUCAACAUAUUCAAAGUCAAUAACAAUCAACCUUACCAUAAUAUAGGACAGUGGUUCAAAUAACACAACAUAUGAACAUUCUAUAACAACUAUUGCAAGUGGCUCAACUUUAAAUAUCACUGCAAGGCACUAAACAACGAAUAUUAAAUCUUGGACACAAAGCACUGAAAUAAGAGAACUCAUAAGUAAGAAUAUCAAAUGAAAGUUUCUCAAAAUUUUCAUUAAAACAUGAUAAAAUAAGCUUAUUUAUAUUGCUGUUUUUUUUUCUCCAUUUAUAACAUUUUUUUUUUAAUUUUGUGUAUUUAUAGGUCAGAUAUCUUGGUUUUUAUGAUCAUCAACAGGUCCUGCAGGUCUAUACUGAAGAGGAAACUUAAUUGUUAAUACUUUUCUACAUAAUCAUGAUAAUGUGCUAAUUGGAUUAAUUAAUGUGAAAUGAACUGUGUGUUUUUCUGGAAAAAGAAAUAGAAAAAAUUCUACAAAAUUGCUAUAAACAAAAUGGAGUACUAUCAAAGAUGCACAAGAACACAAUUGUGUAAAAUGUAACAACCUACAUAUUCACUGAUGGAUUAUGGAGAAAUUAAGAAAAAAAUAGUAUCUUUGUCAUGUUUGUUGUCGAAAUAAACACCUGCUUUAUCCAUUCAUGUACAUGGCUCCAUCAUAUCAAAUAUACAGAGAAGAUGUUUGAAGAACAAGUUGCCAAAAUUUAUUCAACCAAUUGAAGGAAGAUGUCUUGUGGAUGGAAUUAUUUAUGCACUGAACUGUUAUGUAGGGGGUCGAAUAAUUGUACACAGCAGCUGAAACAAAAGACAAGUUAAUUUAACAUGAAAAGUGUUUAUUUUAUUUAAUAUGCAAAUAUGAGCACAAUAUUAAUAACAUCACAAAUGGUAUGAUAUUCAUAGCGUUUUGCUUAUUAUUGUAUUGUCUAUUGUCUUAAACAUGUUAAACAGUCAGCCUUUUGUUUUUGUAUGUUUAAUAC